rnacentral:tRNA from 1 species
GGCUCUUUGGCGUUGCGGUCAAGCUGCAGGGUUUGUACCCCAGAGACCUGGGUUCAACACCGGGUGGCGUCA